AGUGUUGGAGGUGUGGUGUUUCAUUCUGUCAGUGUUGUAAAGCAGUUCUUUCUCACUCUGUCUGCCUCCUCAAAGGUCGAAACUGGAGCUGAUGAAGCUGUACUUCAUAUUUAACAGAUAACUGACAGUGAGAAGAAGUUUGGAUAGGAAGUUUUCACGAGUCAAGUAGUGACAACGACAUGUGACAUCUUUGUGGAAGGACACUAGAACUUAUGUCACUACAUAUCUGAAAGAGUUAUUAGCAGAGUACAGUACACUAGCCAUUUUUUUAUUUUUCCCCAAGACAAAACAUCAGACGUAUUUAGGAUUUCUGGUGAAACUGAGGAAUUUUGGAACCUUCUUCCCUCAAGAUCAAGUCUGGGCAAGUCUAAAUGUGUGAGAACGAACUACAAGAAGUGAGAGUUGAGGAUGCUUUACUUGAACAGCCUGAGCCGAGGGCUAAUGUGUGCAGUGUCCUCUGUCGGGACAUCUGUACGGACAAAGACCAUCGCAAAUUAGCCAUUUGCAGCAUCAUAUGUGGCCUCUCCUGUCUUGGAAUUAUGUCCUUUAUGUACUCAGUCAAGGCCCGAGAGACAAGAAAAAAACUUCAAAAUGAAGAUAGUCCAGAAACACGAGAGAUGGUUAAGAAAUACUCAAAAAAGGCGUGUAAAUGGGGUAUUGGCUCCAUUGUAGUCUGGGUAAUUUUAAUUCUCAUCUUUCCAUUGCUGCUGGGAUUUCUGUCCUAUGUUUUAACCUUCAUAGAUUGACACUGAAGAAGCUUUUCUACAGUUAAGUAUGUAAUGAACUCUGAGAGAGCAGAAAAAGACUCUUUCAUCGCUCACAUUGGAAAUCUAGACCAUCCAAAAAUGUAAACUGAUGGCAAUAAGUUAUUCAAUAAUGGUCAUUAUUUACAUUCACUGUGUGUUUUGAGAGGUGCUGGAUCAAAGGUUCACAGCUUCCUACCUAGAAUAUAAUUGGAUUAAGUCAAUUAAGCCAAUGCAGGUAGUUAUAAAUGGUACAGCAACUUUCAGGAAUUUGUUACAUGCAUGAGAUGGAGCCAUGCAUAAAACCAUCAGCACUGUCCAGACAGAAGCUACUUCUACACUUCAGCAAGCUGAUUUUAUUUAUGCUCUUACUGCCAAUUGGAAAUGAAACACUGAGACACUCACAGAGAGCAUAACAUUCAAAUGCUGAGAUAUGGAUGUGGUUACAUUAUUAACAUUCUGUUUUUGUGAAUAAGUCGUACUGUUUCAAUACUUUGUGCUUCUGAUGUUUUGUACACGCAUGUAUUUCAGGCUUUGUAAUAAAAUGUGUCAGUCAAAACGCA